AAAUUGAAGAGUUUGAUCAUGGCUCAGAUUGAACGCUGGCGGCAGGCCUAACACAUGCAAGUCGAACGGUAACAGGAAACAGCUUGCUGUUUCGCUGACGAGUGGCGGACGGGUGAGUAAUGUCUGGGAAACUGCCUGAUGGAGGGGGAUAACUACUGGAAACGGUAGCUAAUACCGCAUAACGUCGCAAGACCAAAGAGGGGGACCUUCGGGCCUCUUGCCAUCGGAUGUGCCCAGAUGGGAUUAGCUAGUAGGUGGGGUAACGGCUCACCUAGGCGACGAUCCCUAGCUGGUCUGAGAGGAUGACCAGCCACACUGGAACUGAGACACGGUCCAGACUCCUACGGGAGGCAGCAGUGGGGAAUAUUGCACAAUGGGCGCAAGCCUGAUGCAGCCAUGCCGCGUGUAUGAAGAAGGCCUUCGGGUUGUAAAGUACUUUCAGCGGGGAGGAAGGGAGUAAAGUUAAUACCUUUACUCAUUGACGUUACCCGCAGAAGAAGCACCGGCUAACUCCGUGCCAGCAGCCGCGGUAAUACGGAGGGUGCAAGCGUUAAUCGGAAUUACUGGGCGUAAAGCGCACGCAGGCGGUUUGUUAAGUCAGAUGUGAAAUCCCCGGGCUCAACCUGGGAACUGCAUCUGAUACUGGCAAGCUUGAGUCUCGUAGAGGGGGGUAGAAUUCCAGGUGUAGCGGUGAAAUGCGUAGAGAUCUGGAGGAAUACCGGUGGCGAAGGCGGCCCCCUGGACGAAGACUGACGCUCAGGUGCGAAAGCGUGGGGAGCAAACAGGAUUAGAUACCCUGGUAGUCCACGCCGUAAACGAUGUCGACUUGGAGGUUGUGCCCUUGAGGCGUGGCUUCCGGAGCUAACGCGUUAAGUCGACCGCCUGGGGAGUACGGCCGCAAGGUUAAAACUCAAAUGAAUUGACGGGGGCCCGCACAAGCGGUGGAGCAUGUGGUUUAAUUCGAUGCAACGCGAAGAACCUUACCUGGUCUUGACAUCCACAGAACCUUGUAGAGAUACGAGGGUGCCUUCGGGAACUGUGAGACAGGUGCUGCAUGGCUGUCGUCAGCUCGUGUUGUGAAAUGUUGGGUUAAGUCCCGCAACGAGCGCAACCCUUAUCCUUUGUUGCCAGCGGUCCGGCCGGGAACUCAAAGGAGACUGCCAGUGAUAAACUGGAGGAAGGUGGGG
rnacentral:rRNA from 1 species